UUGUUCUUUCCCAAAGAGCUACUCGCAUAGAUCUAAAUGAGAUAGAGUAGUUUUUUAAUAAAUGUCAAUUGGAACGAUAUGAUUUGAAUUCCACUGACAUCUGAAGGAGACAUGAAUAACAGGUGAUUGUAAUCUAUUCUAGGUGCUUGAUUCGUUCCCACUGCAGGAGUUGGAGCUGGUGUAUGAGUAUGGUACUCAAUCAUAUGAUUCAGCAGAUCUUCGAUUGCCAUUGUCAAACAAGAAUUCAAGAACACUAACGGUAAUUGUCUAGUAAAUUUUGUGAAAUUAAGAUCGAACCACAAGCUAGAAAUUAAUAGCUAUCAGCUUUGGCACCAUGAUAUUCUAUUAAGAAGAAGAAGAGC
rnacentral:lncRNA from 1 species